UCACUGGAAAGUUCGCUUUUCCCUCUGUAGUUUUGUUCUGCUUUGCUUUGUCUCCUGGGGGAGGGGUUGGAAGGUGGUAGAGACCCCCCCCCCUUCAAGGACAGCAUCUUAAACUCUUGCCAAAAAUCUCAAGUCUACACAUCCGCUGCUUCAUUCUGUUUAGCAAGGAUAUCUACCGUGCCAGCAAGAUGGUUCAGUGGGUGAAAGGUGCCUCCAACCAAGCCUGACACCCCGAGUUUGAUCCCUGGGACCCACACUGUGGAAGGAAGGAAACAACUCCUAAAAGUUGUCCCGUGACCUCCACAUACAAACAUACAUGCACGCACACAUAAGCACACAUACAUGCACACAUAUGCACAUACAUGCAAAGACCCAUAGCUAUUGUUUUUUUUAAACUGUUUUUGGCAUUUGUCUCGAGUAGGUCAGUGAUACCAUUCCCAGUGUUUACAGAAAUAUUUGAUUUCUUUCCCCAUUAUUAAUUGUGUAUGUAUGUGUAUAUAUAUAUAUAUAUAUGUAUGUAUGUAAGUAAGUACUUGGAAGAGGCCAGAGCUACUGAGUCCCUUGAAGUUGGAUACAGGGUGCUGGGAACCAAACUCGGGUCCUCUGGAAAAACAGUGCCAUUUCCAAAAUCCUUGCUUUUCAUUCCUUUGAAAUCCCAACUCUCUGGUUGGGGAAGAGGCAGGUCAGCGUGAGGACCUGAGUCUGAGCCUUGGCCCAGAACUCAGGCGUGGUGAUGUCACUGGAGACAACAGGAUCCCCAGGCUUCUCUGGCCAGCCAGACUAAACCAGUGGUCAAGUUUCAGGUCCCAGUGAGAGACUCUGCCUCUAAAAGCUCAGGGGACAGCAUGGAGGCUGAUCUCUGGCUUCUACACAAACAUGCAAAAGCGUGCGCGCCCCACGCACAUGCAAACAGACCCAUCUCCCUCAGGCCUCUUCACACUUGGGGAAGAAAAGAAGGCGCUUUAUAGACACAGUGUGCCUUGUUUCUCUUUUCAGCACUUGCAUCCAUGUCUUCAGGAGGGGGUGGGGAAUCACUGUGGACAGAUACUGCCACUCCAACCUAGAGCCCGCAGACCUGCAACGGUCACGUCAUGGGGCCCUCUCCUAGCUGGCUACUCCACCCCACCCCGCUGUCCCCAUGUGCUCAGACAGGUUCCUCAGUGCAGGCGGGGCUGUGUCAGUGACUGCUGUGUUUGUGGGUGAGGUGGGCAUGUGGUACUUAGACUAGCGGCAGUGAGAUUGGGGUCCACAGGCUCACUCACCCGGGAACCUCAUUCCUUCCUUGGUGGGCUGCCGUGUGUGUGGGUGAGCUAGGUGCUCACCGGGACAUGACUUUCUGAUCAGAGUAGAGACACGUGGGCACAGCACGUUUUCAUUUAUUUAGCAGGAAUGUCCAGAUGCUUCGAAUUCUUGGUUCUGUGGUGACACCUGUGAUUGGCUUAGUUUCUGGGCGAUCCCUCUCUUUGUUUACCAGCGUGGUCUGUUACUGCUGGCCAAUAAAGCUGUGUUCUCUCUG
rnacentral:lncRNA from 1 species